rnacentral:rRNA from 1 species
GGAGUUUGAUCCUGGCUCACAGCGAACGCUGGCGGCGUGCUUAACACAUGCGAGUCGAGUGCGCGUGCCCUACCACUACUGUAUGACGCACGGUGCACGGGUGCGUGACACGUGGGCAAUCUGCCCUUCGAUGGAGAAUAACUCCGGGAAACCGAAGCUAAUUCCGCAUAACAUUCCGAGGACUACCGUUUUUGGAUUCAAAGGCGUAAGUCGUCCAAGGAGGAGCCCGUGCACGAUUAGUUAGUUGGUAGGGUAACGGCCUACCAAGGCUAUGAUCGUUAGCUGGUCUGAGAGGAUGGCCAGCCACACUGGAACUGACACACGGUCCAGACUCCUACGGGAGGCAGCAAUGGGGAAUCUUGCACAAUGGGCGAAAGCCUGAUGCAUCGACCCCCCGUGGGGGAUGAAGCUUUUCGGAGUGUAAACCCCUUUCGACCCGGACGAAUGCCCCGCACGGGGACUGACUGUACGGGUAUAAGAAGCCCCGGCUAACUACUUGCCAGCAUCCGCGGUAAGACGUAGGGGGCCAGCGUUGCUCGGAAUUACUGGGUGUAAAGGGUUCGUACGCAGUGUGGCAAGUUGGGAGUGAAAUCUCUGGGCUCAAUCCAGAGGCUGCUUCCAAAACUGCUGUGCUUGAUGUGGAGAGGCACGUGGAAUUGCAUGUGUGGCUAUGAGAUGCAUAAUAUCUGCUGAACACCCGUGGGAAAAGCAGCGCGCUGGAUCACUACUGAUCCUGAGGAACGAAAGCUAGGGGAGCAAACAUGAUUAGUACCCUGGUUGCCCUACCCCUAUAUCAUCAGGACUCGGGGG